rnacentral:rRNA from 1 species
CCUACGGGUGGCAGCAGUGGGGAAUAUUUCACAAUGGGGGAAACCCUGAUGCAGCAACGCCGCGUGAGUGAUGACGGCCUUCGGGUUGUAAAGCUCUGUCUUCAGGGACGAUAAUGACGGUACCUGAGGAGGAAGCCAAGGCUAACUACGUGCCAGCAGCCGAGGUAAUACGUAGGUGGCGAGAGUUGUCCGGAUUUACUGGGCGUAAGGGGAGCGUAGGCGGACUUUUAAGUGAGAUGUGAAAUACGCGGGCUUAACUUGAGUGCUGCAUUUCAAACUGGAAGUCUAGAGUGCAGGAGAGGAGAAUGGAAUGCCGAGUGUAGCGGUGAAAUGCGUAGAGAUUAGGAAGAACACCAGUGGCGAAGGCGAUUCUCUGGACUGUAACUGACGCUGAGGCUCGAAAGUGUGGGUAUCAAACAGGAUUAGAUACCCCUGUAGUC